GACGAACGCUGGCGGCGUGCUUAACACAUGCAAGUCGAACGGAAAGGCCCUGCAUUUGUUGCUUGCUCGAGUGGCGAACGGGUGCGUAACACGUUAGUAACCUGCCCUUGACUUUGGGAUAACUUCAGGAAACUGCGGCUAAUACCGGAUAGGAGCUCCUGCUGCAUGGUGGGGGUUGGAAAGUUUCGGCGGUUGGGGAUGUACUCGCGGCUUAUCCGCUUGUUGGUGGGGUAGACGCUUACCAGGGCUUUGACGGGUAGCCGGCCUGAGAGGGUGACCGGCAACAGUGGGACUGAGAUACGGCACGGAGUCGUACGGGAGGCAGCAGUGGGGAAGAUUGCACAAUGGGCGGAAGCCGGAUGCAGCAACGCCGCGUGCGGGAUGAUGGCCUUCGGGUUGUAAACCGCUUUCGCCUGUGAGGAAGAGUGAGUGACGGUAAUGGGUAAAGAAGCACCGGCUAACUACGUG
rnacentral:rRNA from 1 species